rnacentral:tRNA from 1 species
GCGCUCUUAGUUCAGUUCGGUAGAACGUGGGUCUCCAAAACUCAAUGCCGUAGGUUCAAAUCCUACAGAGCGUG